GACGAACGCUGGCGGCGUGCCUAAUACAUGCAAGUCGAACGCUGAAGGAGGAGCUUGCUUCUCUGGAUGAGUUGCGAACGGGUGAGUAACGCGUAGGUAACCUGCCUGGUAGCGGGGGAUAACUAUUGGAAACGAUAGCUAAUACCGCAUAAUAGUAGAUGUUGCAUGACAUUUGCCUAAAAGGUGCACUUGCAUCACUACCAGAUGGACCUGCGUUGUAUUAGCUAGUUGGUGGGGUAACGGCUCACCAAGGCGACGAUACAUAGCCGACCUGAGAGGGUGAUCGGCCACACUGGGACUGAGACACGGCCCAGACUCCUACGGGAGGCAGCAGUAGGGAAUCUUCGGCAAUGGACGGAAGUCUGACCGAGCAACGCCGCGUGAGUGAAGAAGGUUUUCGGAUCGUAAAGCUCUGUUGUAAGAGAAGAACGAGUGUGAGAGUGGAAAGUUCACACUGUGACGGUAUCUUACCAGAAAGGGACGGCUAACUACGUG
rnacentral:rRNA from 1 species